rnacentral:rRNA from 1 species
AUGUACUCGUCGCAGUCGGUGAGUCGCAUCAACAACAUCCGUACCUCUCUCAUCAAUGCGCAGAAGGGCAACCUCUCCGUCGCCUCCUACUUCGCCACCAUGCGCGGCUACGCCGACGAGUUGACCGCGGCGGGCAAGGCGAUCCUCGACGAUGAGCUCAUCUCCUACAUCAUCCACGGGCUCGACGCCGACUACCAUCUGCUGAUCUCCGCUCUGGAUGCUCGUGUCACCCCCGUCACCAUCGACGAGCUCUUCGCCAUGCUCUCCAAUUUCGAUCAGCGGAUGGUGCACUUCCACGGUAACGGCGGC